rnacentral:rRNA from 1 species
UACGGGGGGUGCGAGCGUUGUCCGGAAUCACUGGGCGUAAAGGGCGCGUAGGUGGUUUGAUAAGGGUGUGGUGAAAGCCCGGGGCUCAACCCCGGGUCUGCCGUGCCGACUGUCAAACUCGAGGGCUGUAGAGGCAGACGGAAUUCCGGGUGUAGCGAUGGAAUGCGUAGAGAUCCGGAGGAAGACCGGUGGCGAAGGCGGUCUGCUGGGCAGUUUCUGACACUGAUGCGCGACAGCGUGGGGAGCAAACAGG